AACAAAACCCUUAGGCGGCCUUUGCUUCCCACUUUCCCCCCAAAUCGCACAAGCCUGAGAAGACACCACAACCACCUGAGAUGGGCACCACCACCGGAGCACUAGGCACCCACCACUCGAGACCCCUAAAUAACCACCGUAUCUCACCAUUCGCGUCUGCAGUGUCCGAGACCCACCAUUCACCACCACCGAAAUACGCCGCACCACCGCCGGUUUCAAGGAACUUACCACCGUAUCUCAACAAUUGAUGAAUUUGGGCCACUCAGACCAGCAUUUUUCCACUCAGACCAGCAGCCCGGCAGCAUCCUCUUACCCUGACAGGACCAGAAAUCCGGUCGGUUAUUAUGCACAACUUGUUUUUGCUCUAAGUGUCGUAACAUUUCCGCUGGUUUUAAUGUCUUACCCUAUAAUUACAAGCCUAAUUCCAGCUCAAACAAGUGUCCUCAAGCUUCAGGUUGGCCUAUUCAUGUUCUUGAAGAUGUUAAAGAUGCAACUCACAAGUUUUUUUGAGUUGCCAGCAGCUAAAGAAAAGAAGAAAUACUCGAAAGAUGCAACUCACAAAUUAUUUGAUUACAUAUAAUAAUUAUCUAUCGCGGAUCACGUGUGGGUCUAAACGGACUUAAUUAAACUAACGAACGAUACAUAUACAUCUAUCAAUGAUCACUGAGAUUUUUUACUACAGGGUCCCGAUUUGUCUGAGCUUUACAAGUCCGCAGUAGAGGCGGCGACUGUGACUGCGUAUCUGGUUAGUACAAAAUGGACUAUGAAAAUGAAUACCACCAACAGAUCCCACAGUCAAGAUAUGAUUAUAUGAAUGCCUGAUUGCCUUCUUUUUGAUGUGGAUGACACCCUUUAUCCUCUAAGCUCUGGGCUGUCAGCUGAGGGCACCAAGAACAUCAGUAUUUAACAAACAAACACAACCAUUUCAUCACUAUUUUAUGGGCAUAAUACCUGAAACAGUGAAACUGCUACCCUAAGUUGAUGAACAUGAAAAUCAACCUGUUUAUAAUCAACAUCUUAUGUUGAUUACGCCUUAGAGAUUUUAGACAUGCAUCAAUUGGAGUGAUGGUUUAUGACCAGGGAUUUGUUGCGGAGAUGAGUAGCCGAAGAAGGAUGUGGUUUUGCUGGCAGUGAUCUUGUAGUUAUGUGUGUAUGAGAGAGAGAGAGAGAGCCGAUCGAUCGCUCCCAAAGACUGGAAACCUUUUUUUUAACAUCAAGCACAUUAAAGCUUGCAUAUGAGUACUUAACCCCCCUCCAGGCAGCUGUUUGGAAAGUAUUUGACUAAGUAUCUGAUGAAGAAGCGGAUGAUGACACGGAUAUGACGUACAAUUAUUACAUUUUAUAUCUUAGAUAGUUUUAUGACGUGUUUGUGAAUUAUGACUUAAAACGAACCCGGAUUGUGACGUUUAUGCUUAUAUUUUUUUUGAAAGGCAACCAUUUAUGCUUACGUUUA